rnacentral:lncRNA from 1 species
UGGCAACCUCGCCCCUCUCCCUCCCAUUCGGAGCCAGGCGGGGGGUGCACCAUGCGCUAAUAGCGACCCUGUUAAUUGCUUCCAAAUGGUCAACUGUAGUCAUUUGACUAAUUGGUCUCUUCCAGAGCCCAGGCUGGACACCCCAGGCCCAGCAGAAGUGCUCCUACCAGCAUCCCCCGAACCUCUGCACUGGGACCCUGUCCCCCAGAGCACCCCCAGCCCUAUCUGGUACCUGAGUCUGCCCCUAGCCUCUUCCCCUGGAGAGAGAGCUGGGGUGGAGAGAGGGCAGAGAACAGGGUCCUAUGGUGUGGCCGCAGGUGGCUGGCCAGGGACUGUCAGAUGUGAUGCUGACUCCCAGCCCCAAACUCACUCUAAUUAUGUUGCCUGCCCCCCCAUCCUCUUACCCCAUCCUUGUCCCCAAGAGCAGUGGGAGAGAGACCCAGCCUGCCUGUGUCACUGGGAGACCAUGGGUCCCUGAAAUUCUGGGAGCAGCCCUGAUCAGCCCCACAUUACAGAUGAGAAAGGGAGGCUCAGAGAGGUGAAGUGACUUGCCCGGGGUCACACAGCCAGGAGAUGAGGCGAGAAGACUGGAAUGCCCCUUCUGGCUACGGGACCCAGGACCCGAGCAGUGGGGAGAGGGAAACCAUUGCCCCUCUAAGUCCCUCUGGGGCAAAGCUGGCACUUUGCUUCUGGCAAAGUUAGGAGCCCCCGCAGGCAGGGGUGGGAUGGAAGGCACAUCUCCCCGCAGUGGGGCCUGCGCAGCACUUUGAGGCUCAUCCACGGUGUGGCGUGUGCCAGUGUGUCCUCCCCUUUUCUGCCCUAGUGGCAUUCCGUCGUGUGCACAGACCACAUGCUGUUUAUUUUUCAUCCAUGGAUGGAUGUUCGCCUUAUUUCCUGGCUACUUGGCUAUUUUGGAGCCCCAAGCUGAGACAUAAAGGAGGAUUCUCUCUGGGUAGAGGAGAGGAGGGAGCAGAGGGCCCCCUGGCCCAGGGACAGACACCUCCAGCUGCUCUUUUUCUUCCCCACAACACCGAGGGCAGCCUGUGCCUGUCAGUGCCUGGCAUCGGGCUCCAGGCAGAGCAGCCAACAGGGCUUGUAGAUGCCAUCUUCUCCCUGUGUCCUCACAGGUUCGUCCCUCUGUGUGUGCCUGUGUCCUCAUUACCUCUUCUUAUAAGGACCCCAGUCAGAUUGGACUGGGGCCAUUCCACAGACCUCGCUUUACUUUAAUCGCCUUUGAAAGACCCUAGCUCCAAUUGCAGCCACAUUCUGAGGUCCUAGUGAGUAGGGUUCCAACAUACAAAUCUUGGGGGACACAGUUCCGCCCAAAACAAGUGCAAAUGAUGAGGUACACCCCCAGUCCUGUGGAUGAGGUGGGGUGGAGGGAAGGGAAGAAAUUCACAUCCCCACCUCCUCCCACCAUGAAGUCAACUGCAGCUGGGCGAGGCCAGGCUUGAUGGGGAGCUGUGGCAGCUUUGAUGGGGAGCUGUGGUGGCAAACCCACACUCAAGCAAUCACCCUGUGUCCCUGCCUUGCACCCCCCUACCCCUCUCCACCCUUUGCCCAGGCCAGUCCCUCCACCUGGGGGCCCUUUCACCCUUUCCAUCUAGAAGCUCCUGCCAUUCCUGCAGACCUGGCCCCGGCCCCUGGAGGGGCCCACACCCCAGGCAGAGCGAGUCUCUUCCUCUGGCCUCCCUGGCCUUUGCUCCUUCCAUGCUGCCCUGAUACCUAGGCCUGUUUCUCGUCAGCAGCAGCUCAGGCAGGGCAGCUUGCUCUAGAGGGCAGGCAGGCUUUGUUUACCUCUCCCCUGUGCUGACCUGUGCGAGAUGUGGCCAGGACACUUGGACAGUGGGCAGGAGGCAGGGAUGGUGAGGUGGGGAUAGAGGGAGGAGUGCCGGGCUACCCACUCCCAGUCUAGGAUGUUCCUCCUCCACACCUGCAUGUUCUGUGUUCUCCUUAAACCAUCACGGUGCUGCUUUGAGGCUCCUGUGUCUGCUAGGAAAAAGGGGCUGCGCUGCUGGGGCCUUCAUUCAGCCGCCUACAACUGGGGGAGGCUGAGGAGUGCUACAAAUACAAUCACAGGAGCCAGCAUCGAUGGACUGAUGGGCCCUGGUAUGCAUGGUCUAUCUUGGGGGUGGUGGCACAUGGGUCCAGGACCACCCAGAUUCCAUUUUCUGCUCUAUUCCUUACCCUGCAUAAGCGCUCCUACAGCUGUCAGCCUCUGAUAUCAAUUCCAAGUUACUGGAUUUUUUUUGAGGCCGGGUCUCACUCUGUCAUCCAGGGUGGAGUGCAGUGGCUAGAGUUUGGCUCACUACAACCUCCACCUCCCAGGCUCAAGUGAUCCUCCUGCCUCAGCCUCCCAAGUAGCUGAGACUACAGGCAUGUGCCACCAUAUCCAGCUGAUUUUUGUAUUUUUUGUAGAGAUGGGGUCUCACUAUGUUUCCCAGACUGGUCUCAAACUCCUGAGCUCAAGCGAUCCUCCCAUCUCAGCCUCCCAAAGCACUAGGACAACCAGCAUGAGCCACUGUGCCCAACCCCUAUUCUAAGUUUAAAGGACAAGCAGGACUUUUUCUCAAGUCCCAGAGUAGCGCACCCCAGUCCCAACACCAGGACUGAGCGUGCACCCCACUUCUAGCAUCAGGACUGAGCGUGCUCUGACCUGUUUCCCUGAGCUGAGGAAGGGGCCGAAGAGCUGAGAUAACUCCCAAGAAAUUUCCAGGGAGGGAUUUUCUGGGGCCAAGUCCUGGCCUGGCCCGGCCGGGCCUGUGUGAGCUCAGGGUCCUGCAGCCCCGGUGACUGGCCAUCAAUGCCCAAGCUGCAGGGACUCUCGAGGAAGUCCGAAAGACGCCACUGCCUCUCUACAGGCUGUUCUCAGGUGGCCAGGAGGACUGCAUCGCAGAGGCGGCGGGCAGUGCCUGGGGACCAGCUUCCUGCCUCUGGCUCUGACUCAGACCUGGUGGCCUUGCCCAGCCCAGCCCCACCCUCUCACUAAAUCAAAGCCAUGCCCUUCAGAUGUGGUUUCCCAAGCCUCCCUUGGUUUCAUGACUGCGAGGGACCUUCUGCAGCCACCUGGGCUGAGUCUAUAAAGAAAUAUGCACAAGCAGCAUCAUUCAGCAGGAUUUCAGACCAGAAAGAACCCUCCCGUCAGAGACUGGUGGCCAUACAAGGGUGCGCUGUGAAGCUUUCGAGACAGCAGACAGCCGGAGUCGUGAUCAGGGUGGCCAGGAAGGGAAACAACACGGUAGCAACCAGAGUGCCCUCCCAUGUGGAUUCCUUUGGUGACGAAUAAGCCAGUUGGUGUGCAGGGUGUUCACUGCAAGGCCCAGACAGGACUACAAGAGACCAGGACUGUCCUCAGUAUGUGAUCUCUCUCUCCUCUGGCGUCAGCUCUACCCAGGAACGGAUGUGAAGGCUGAAGCCCAGGCAAGGGCUCAUAGUGUGGGGACCGUGCAGCUGGAUUCAUGUCCAGUGGAAUUUGACACCAUGGCCGUCAUCAUCAUGUUUUGCCGUCAUCAGCACAGACCUCUGAGCAGAAAUGCCAGAACAAUGUGGGGCCACCCUGGAGAUUUAUUUUAUUUAUUUUUUAAAUUAAAUUAAAAUUGUUUUUAAGAGACGGGGUCUUGCUAUGUUGCACAGGUUGAUCUUGAACUUCUGGGCUCAAGCAAUCCUCCUGUCUUGGCCUCAGAGUGUUGGGAUUACAGACCUAAGCCACCGCGCCCGGCCUGGAGAUGUAUUUUAAACUGACAUCUUGGGAGAAAUAAAAGCCUUCCUUUUCCCUGUGUGUCGGUAGCGUAAGUAGUGAACUGGGAAGGAUUUCUCGGGGCCCCUGCCCUGAGCUCCUAGACCUUCUCUCCCACGCCAUGUUACACAACAAAAUCUGACUCUGAAAGAUCAAUUGGGUCCAGCUUGGGGUCUGAUGGGCAGACGGGCUUAAGCAAAGCCCCCACUUGACUUCAAGAGAGGAGCUUGGGGCCCACAUAGACAUCGAGGCCUGCACAACGUAGCUAAUUGGCCCUAACAUUUUUCUUUCUUGAAUUUUAAAUCCUUUUAGCAACAGAUUAUACAACAAAGGCUGAACUCAUUGGGGCCGUCAUUAGGCUGGCGGAAAACGCUGGCUUGGCUGUUCCUUGGCGAAUCUCCUUACCGGGUUAUUUAGAGGUGCCGUGUGUCUCUCUUGGGGACAUGCACACAAAUGUAAAGAAUGUCUCUGAGCCACAAUGACAUUUUCAUUAGCCGUGGCUCACAGAGGAGCCUUUCCUGGCAGUUCCAAUCCGGAAGGUUCUUAUCCUGCUCUCUGGCUUUCUUGCUCUGGGUGAAAGGCAGGCACCGUAAUCCAAGCCAAACACCCCGACCUUUGACCCCCACAUGGUGCUUGCUGUCAGGGUGGGGGUUCUUCUGGGGUGCAUGUCUGAGGCCUGACUGGGCUGCACACUGUCCCAGAGUGCCCUGCCUUUGGCCAGGACAAUUCACCUCAGCCCCUUUUGUCCCAACAGCUUUUGAUCUUGCCUGCCUGUCACCCAGGGAAAGAGCCUGCCUAGGCCCUGUCCCACACCUGCCUGCAAACUGACAGCCAUGGCUCCCCCAGCCCCACUGCAGCAGCCUUAACCCUUUCUCUGCCUGACCUGCAGGGCCUGCACCUACCUGUCUCCAGGGUGCUGGGGCCUCAGGCUUUGGCCAAACCAGAACAGGACUAGAAAAGAAUUCUUCUGAGGGUCCAAGGCCUCGUCCUACCGCCCCUACUGUGAGUGUGGGACUGACAAAGGAGUUUGGAGAGCAUGAGUCCCCUAGAAUGGAGCUCCCAGGAAAAGCCAAAGAGAAAGCCCCAGGCCACUGGGCCUGGACUUCGCCCCACGGCAAGGUCCCCGCCCACUGGCUAGGCAGGUGCUUUUGUGAAACUGACAUUUUCUCAGCUGCACCUCUACCGCUGCUGAUGAGCUUUUCAAUACACUCUUUCUUGUAUUGAGACAGAGCCAUGUUUUCAUAACUUGGCACUACAGCAAAGAAAGACAUGGGGUCCUUGCUGCUCAGUCCUGGUGCCCGGCCCAGUGUCUGGGGUGCCCACCUUGCCCAGCGUGUGCUGGGCAUGCAGGGGCACUUCCCUAGGGCCAAAACCUGGGAGCUUUCCUCCAGGCCAAGACGCAAGUCUCUUUGUUUUUACGGUAGCUUUGUUGAAAUGUAAUUUACAUACCAUGAAAUUCACCCGUUGAAGGCAUGCAAUUUAGAAGGUUUUAUUCAUAGAGUUGUAUGAAUUCUCUAUUUCCCAAGGCCAUUUUUUUAAAUAUAAGGGUAAUCUAUGUUCACUGUGGAAAAUACAAACAAUUCAGAAAAUAUACCAUGAAAAGUGCACAUCCUGUUAAUCCAUUUAUUCAGAAACUGUUUCUUUUUUUCUUCUUUCUUUCUUUUUUUUUUUUUUUUUUGAGACAGAGUCUCAAUCUUGUCGCCCAGGCUAAAGUGCAAUGGUGUGAUCUCACUGCAGCCUCCACCUCC